UCGGACAGACAGAGAAGUGCCAUGUAAUCAUGCCACAUCAUUGCCAGCUGGGUGGAGAGAGGGUGUUUAACGGGAGGCAUGGAUAUUUUGCACAGCCAACACUUUUCUAAAUGAAAGGACAAGUUUCUAAAUGCAAGGAUGAGCAGGCUCUAGAAGACGCAGAGACAUUGCUUGCGCUUGACGCCACACGCUUGAAGAGUAUUCACAGGAAAGUUAUAGUCAAUGUCACCAUAAUGUUGUGUGUAUUCAUAUGCAUCCAGGGCGUGUUCGUAUAAGGAGCUCAACAAGCUCUACAUAAACGUGAGCAAAAUUUUUGAUUGGUGGAAUUGCUGGGAGAUAAGCCCCUCACAUGCACCAUACAAAUUGGAGGUUGGCUUCUCUCUUUCUUCUCAUUCUAGCAUUUCUUCAUCAAUUUUCUCUUGAUAGCAGGAAGAUAUAAGAGCCUCUUGGCUGUGGAGCUCCCGUUUGAGGAAGAAAAGAGAAAGAAUGCCAUGGCAUACUCUCAAAACAUCUCUCAAGCUCGUCAAUCACAGUGUUUGGAAGCUGUCCUCUUCUUCUCGAAUUUCUAUUGCCAGCGGCAAGAUCACCAUAUUAAGAUUCUAUGUGGGCCCGCUUGGACCAUGGCCUCGACGGGGACUCCCCACUCCCCUUCUCUACUCGUGGUUCUCUGGAAUCCAUGUUGCACCGGAUCAAAAUGUGACUCAAUGUGAUCGUGAGCAGUGCGCUCGUCAUAUGGGGUUGGAUUCACGCUCCAAAGAAGGUUUGUCCAGCGUCGAUCCCGACCUGAUGAUGUGGCAAAUAGGCUUCCACAUGACGUGGAAACCGUGACAAUCACAAAUUGUUUACUAUUUAAAA
rnacentral:lncRNA from 1 species